AUUCUGGCUCAGGAUGAACGCUGGCGGCGUGCUUAACACAUGCAAGUCGAACGGGAUCCCAGGAGCUUGCUCCUGGGUGAGAGUGGCGAACGGGUGAGUAAUGCGUGACCGACCUGCCCCAUACACCGGAAUAGCUCCUGGAAACGGGUGGUAAUGCCGGAUGCUCCAGUUGGAUGCAUGUCCUUCUGGGAAAGAUUCAUCGGUAUGGGAUGGGGUCGCGUCCUAUCAGCUUGAUGGCGGGGUAACGGCCCACCAUGGCUUCGACGGGUAGCCGGCCUGAGAGGGCGACCGGCCACAUUGGGACUGAGAUACGGCCCAGACUCCUACGGGAGGCAGCAGUGGGGAAUAUUGCACAAUGGGCGCAAGCCUGAUGCAGCGACGCCGCGUGCGGGAUGACGGCCUUCGGGUUGUAAACCGCUUUUGACUGGGAGCAAGCCCUUCGGGGUGAGUGUACCUUUCGAAUAAGCACCGGCUAACUACGUGCCAGCAGCCGCGGUAAUACGUAGGGUGCAAGCGUUAUCCGGAAUUACUGGGCGUAAAGCGUGCGCAGGCGGUUCUGUAAGAUAGAUGUGAAAUCCCCGGGCUCAACCUGGGAAUUGCAUAUAUGACUGCAGGACUUGAGUUUGUCAGAGGAGGGUGGAAUUCCACGUGUAGCAGUGAAAUGCGUAGAUAUGUGGAAGAACACCGAUGGCGAAGGCAGCCCUCUGGGACAUGACUGACGCUCAUGCACGAAAGCGUGGGGAGCAAACAGGAUUAGAUACCCUGGUAGUCCACGCCCUAAACGAUGUCUACUAGUUGUUGGGGACGAUAGUCCUUGGUAACGCAGCUAACGCGUGAAGUAGACCGCCUGGGGAGUACGGUCGCAAGAUUAAAACUCAAAGGAAUUGACGGGGACCCGCACAAGCGGUGGAUGAUGUGGAUUAAUUCGAUGCAACGCGAAAAACCUUACCUAGCCUUGACAUGCCAGGAAGGCCUGAGAGAUCAGGCCGUGCCCGCAAGGGAAUCUGGACACAGGUGCUGCAUGGCUGUCGUCAGCUCGUGUCGUGAGAUGUUGGGUUAAGUCCCGCAACGAGCGCAACCCUUGUCAUUAGUUGC
rnacentral:rRNA from 1 species